rnacentral:rRNA from 1 species
UACGAAGGGGGCUAGCGUUGCUCGGAAUCACUGGGCGUAAAGGGUGCGUAGGCGGGUCUUUAAGUCAGGGGUGAAAUCCUGGAGCUCAACUCCAGAACUGCCUUUGAUACUGAAGAUCUUGAGUGCGGGAGAGGUGAGUGGAACUGCGAGUGUAGAGGUGAAAUUCGUAGAUAUUCGCAAGAACACCAGUGGCGAAGGCGACUCACUGGCCCGAUACUGACGCUGAGGCACGAAAGCGUGGGGAGCAAACAGG